rnacentral:rRNA from 1 species
AGUGAACGCUGGCGGUAGGCCUAACACAUGCAAGUCGAACGGCAGCACAGUAAGAGCUUGCUCUUACGGGUGGCGAGUGGCGGACGGGUGAGGAAUACAUCGGAAUCUACUUUUUCGUGGGGGAUAACGUAGGGAAACUUACGCUAAUACCGCAUACGACCUACGGGUGAAAGCAGGGGAUCUUCGGACCUUGCGCGAUUGAAUGAGCCGAUGUCGGAUUAGCUAGUUGGCGGGGUAAAGGCCCACCAAGGCGACGAUCCGUAGCUGGUCUGAGAGGAUGAUCAGCCACACUGGAACUGAGACACGGUCCAGACUCCUACGGGAGGCAGCAGUGGAGAAUAUUGGACAAUGGGCGCAAGCCUGAUCCAGCCAUACCGCGUGGGUGAAGAAGGCCUUCGGGUUCUAAAGCCCUUUUGUUGGGAAAGAAAAGCAGCAGGUUAAUACCCCGCUGUUCUGACGGUACCCAAAGAAUAAGCACCGGCUAACUUCGUG